rnacentral:rRNA from 1 species
AGAGUUUGAUUAUGGCUCAGGACGAACGCUGGCGGCGCGCUUAACACAUGCAAGUCGAGCGAGAACCGGUCCUUCGGGACCGGGGAAAGCGGCGAACGGGUGAGUAACACGUGGGUAAUCAACCCUCGGUACCGGGAUAGCCCGAGGAAACUCGGAUUAAUACCGGAUGGCCCAACAGCCUUUCGGGGCGGUUGGAAAAGGUAGCUUCGGCCUCCGACCGAGGACGAGCCCGCGGCGGAUUAGCUUGUUGGUGGGGUAACGGCCCACCAAGGCGACGAUCCGUAGCUGGUCUGAGAGGACGAUCAGCCACACUGGGACUGAGACACGGCCCAGACUCCUACGGGAGGCAGCAGUGGGGAAUCUUGCACAAUGGGCGAAAGCCUGAUGCAGCGACGCCGCGUGAGGGAGGAAGGCUUUCGGGUUGUAAACCUCUUUCAGGAGGGACGAAGCUACUCGGGUUAAUAGCCCAGGGGGUGACGGUACCUCCAGAAGAAGCCCCGGCUAACUACGUGCCAGCAGCCGCGGUAAUACGUAGGGGGCAAGCGUUGUCCGGAUUUAUUGGGCGUAAAGAGCGUGUAGGCGGCCAGGUAGGUCCGUUGUGAAAACUCGAGGCUCAACCUCGAGACGCCGAUGGAAACCCCCUGGCUAGAGUCCGGAAGAGGAGAGUGGAAUUCCUGGUGUAGCGGUGAAAUGCGCAGAUAUCAGGAAGAACACCCGUGGCUANNNCGGCUCUCUAGUACGGUACUGACGCUGAGACGCGAAAGCGUGGGGAGCGAACAGGAUUA